AUUGAACGCUGGCGGCAUGCCUUACACAUGCAAGUCGAACGGUAACAGGUCUUCGGAUGCUGACGAGUGGCGAACGGGUGAGUAAUACAUCGGAACGUGCCUAGUAGUGGGGGAUAACUACUCGAAAGAGUGGCUAAUACCGCAUGAGAUCUACGGAUGAAAGCAGGGGAUCGCAAGACCUUGUGCUACUAGAGCGGCCGAUGGCAGAUUAGGUAGUUGGUGGGGUAAAAGCUUACAAAGCCGACGAGCUGUAGCUUGUCUGAGAGGACGAUCAGCCACACUGGGACUGAGACACGGCCCAGACGCCGACGGGAGGCAGCAGUGGGGAAUUUUGGACAAUGGGCGCAAGCCUGAUCCAGCAAUGCCGCGUGCAGGAUGAAGGCCUUCGGGUUGUAAACUGCUUUUGUACGGAACGAAAAGCCCUGGGUUAAUACCCUGGGGUCAUGACGGUACCGUAAGAAUAAGCACCGGCUAACUACGUGCCAGCCGCCGCGGUAAAAC
rnacentral:rRNA from 1 species